CUGUAAUUGAACACGAGUAUGUCACCAGCUCUAAAGCGCUUCCCCUUGGGCCAGCCGACACUGUUAAAGGUCCAGCCACCGGCACCACCCACCGUAUAGGUAGCUGCCUCUGCAGUCACCACCAUCAGGCACAGCACCGCCGCCGCCGCCACCACUGCACUGCCUCUUCCCUGAGACAUCUUCUCUCUCUCACUACACUAAUGACAAGCAACAACAAAAGAUUGGGAAAAAAACCUAAAGAGAGUGUGUUAGCUUGUGCGUGUGUGAG
rnacentral:misc_RNA from 1 species